rnacentral:rRNA from 1 species
AGCAGCCGCGGUAAUUCCAGCUCCAAUAGCGUAUAUUAAAGUUGUUGCAGUUAAAAGCUCGUAGUUGAAUUUCGGGAUUGACGUGACGGUCAUGCCUUAAGGGGUAUGAACUGUUACAGUUGAUUUCUCACCUUCUGGAGAAACUUGAUGUCCUUUAUUGGGUGUCUUGCGGAUCCAGGACCUUUACCUUGAAAAAUUAGAGUGUUUAAAGCAGGCAUUUUUGCUCGAAUACAUUAGCAUGGAAUAAUAGAAUAGGACGGCAUGGUUCUAUUUUGUUGGUUUCUAGGAUCACCGUAAUGAUUAAUAGGGAUAGUUGGGGGCAUUAGUAUUCAAUUGUCAGAGGUGAAAUUCUUGGAUUUAUUGAAGACUAACUACUGCGAAAGCAUUUGCCAAGGAUGUUUUCAUUAAUCAAGAACGAAAGUUAGGGGAUCGAAGACGAAUCAGAUACCGUCGUAGUCUUAACCAUAAACUACGCCGACUAGGAAUCAGACGAUGUAAUUUUUAAUGUACUCG